rnacentral:rRNA from 1 species
UAGGGAAUCUUCCACAAUGGACGCAAGUCUGAUGGAGCAACGCCGCGUGAGUGAAGAAGGCUUUCGGGUCGUAAAACUCUGUUAUUGAAGAAGAACGUGCGUGACAGUAACUGGUCAUGCAGUGACGGUAUUCAAUCAGAAAGUCACGGCUAACUACGUGCCAGCAGCCGCGGUAAUACGUAGGUGGCAAGCGUUGUCCGGAUUUAUUGGGCGUAAAGCGAGUGCAGGCGGUCUUUUAAGUCUGAUGUGAAAGCCUUCGGCUUAACCGAAGAAGGGCAUCGGAAACUGGGAGACUUGAGUGCAGAAGAGGAGAGUGGAACUCCAUGUGUAGCGGUGAAAUGCGUAGAUAUAUGGAAGAACACCAGUGGCGAAGGCGGCUCUCUGGUCUGUAACUGACGCUGAGGCUCGAAAGCGUGGGUAGCAAACAGGAUUAGAUACCCUGGUAGUCCACGCCGU